AUACGGAGGGUGCAAGCGUUACUCGGAAUCACUGGGCGUAAGGCGCGCGCAGGCGGCUAUUUAAGUUGGAUGUGAAAGCCUACGGCUCAACCGUAGAACUGCAUCCAAAACUAUUUAGCUAGAGUGUGGGAGAGGAAGAUGGAAUUAGUUGUGUAGGGGUAAAAUCCGUAGAGAUAACUAGGAAUACCAAAAGCGAAGGCAAUCUUCUGGAACACUACUGACGCUGAGGCGCGAAAGCGUGGGGAGCAAACGGGAUUAGAUACCCGAGUAGUCC
rnacentral:rRNA from 1 species